rnacentral:lncRNA from 10 species
CGGAGUCUCGCUCCGUCCCCCAGGCGGGAGUGCAGUGGCGCGAUCUCGGCUCACUGCAAGCUCCGCCUCCCGGGUUCACGCCAUCUUGCCACUAAACCUGAUUUACCAACAUAACCUGUUUCUGGCCAUGCUGUGAAUCUGCAUUCUUUACUGUGUCCUUGGGAUACUAGGUCUCUGAUCAAGUGCCACAUCUUUAGAGAAGCUUUUCCAAACAACCGAUUAUGAAGUACACAUUAACAAUGAAGCCUCUUUUCAAGUAAAGAAGCCUUCAAGCUCCAGAUAAUCCUCAGUGAGGUAUACUGUCCGCUCAAUAUCCAAGAGUCACCCUUCUACAAGGGACCUCUAGACUGCCCAUAAGUGAGACAUGACAGAGGUAACUUUUCAGACAUGAAUUGGAAUAAGAUAAGGCCAACUUGCUCAACUACAUUCCUUACUAAAACAUAAUAACUAAAAGCUACAGUGUGCAUUUCAUGUUUCACAUGUUCUGUUGCAGUGCCAAGACUAGGUUUAAGCAAUUCAGCUGCACAGUUACCAACCACUUCUUCUUGGAAGAUUUACCUACAAUCUAACUGAUAUACUUAACAAAAUUAUAUUUUUAAUAUUGAUUGUACAAUUUUUUACUCCUUAAUUGUAUCUGACAGCUUCUUAUACUUUAAACUUGAUCAACAGUAAAUUGUGAAGAGAGUAACUAUACACCACAUGGCUUGACAAUAUCCAAACAUCAUUCUUGUUCUACAAAAGUUACAAAUGACGGAGUCUCGCUCUGUCGCCCAGGCUGGUGUGCAGUGACACAGUCUCGGCUCACUGCAACCUCUGCCUCCCGGGUUCAAGCAAUUCUCCUGCCUCAGCCUCCCGAGUAGCUGGGACUACAGGCACUUGCCACCACGCCCAGCGAAUUGUUUUGUAUUAGAGACAGGGUUUCACCGUGUUAACCUGGAUGGUCUCUAUCUCCUGACCUCGUGAUCCGCCCACCUCGGCCUCCCAAAGUGCUGGGAUUACAGGGGUGAGCCACCGCGCCCAGCUGAACAAAGAAAUUUUUAACAGUGAAAGUGAGGCAAACGUGAAGAUCAAGAGAGACUGGGUGCUGCUCUGCUGUGGAUCAAUAUCACUGAAACUCAGCACUUGAAAUCAGCUACACUAAGAAUCGUAAGAGUAAAGAUAAUCAAAUAAACAAAGCCUGGAGAUGGCAGGGCUCCUCUCAGGCAAGGAGCAGAAAAG